UACAGAGGUCCCAAGCGUUGUUCGGAUUUACUGGGCGUAAAGGGCGCGUAGGCGGUCAGCACAAGUCAGUUGUGAAAUCUCCGGGCUUAACUCGGAAAGGUCAACUGAUACUGUGCGACUAGAGUGCAGAAGGGGCAACUGGAAUUCUCGGUGUAGCGGUGAAAUGCGUAGAGAUCGGGAAGAACGCCGGCGGCGAAAGCGACUCUCUGGUCGGAAUCUGACGCUGAGGCACGAAAGCUAGGGGAGCAAACGGG
rnacentral:rRNA from 1 species